CAAACGUGAGUGUCUGUCAUGUCCAGACUUUAACCUUAAAUAUCCACUUAAAAUGAGAUGUUUUCAUAUUUACAGUAGUGUAAAUAAGAUUAUAAG